rnacentral:lncRNA from 1 species
GUACUGCUGGGGGCAUAUUCAUGAGUUGGGUUGCUGGGCAAACUAGGCAUGGGGAGAGUAGUCAAGGCCUUCAUUGCUGGAUCUGAGUAAAACAUCCCAUCAUCCCUUGGAGAACCCUCAGCAGAACUCGAGUUACCUUGUUCCUUCUUUAGCUUCUUUGCGAGUUCGGCAACAUCAUUCCACAAGGCCUUCAUACCAGCAUCCAAAACUUCAAGCUCUUCCAGGUUGAAUUUGUCCAUUGAACGCGUAUACCAAAGCUCUUUCAUCAAGCCUUUUCUUCUUUGUUUGAGCUCUUUACCUCGCUUCCUUGCUGCCUCCUCCUUGUCUUGAGCCUGUUAUCAUAUACACAUGUUCAUUUAUUUGCAG